GACAGAGGGGGCAAGCGUUGCUCGGAAUCACUGGGCGUAAAGGGCGCGUAGGCGGGAUGGCAAGUCAGUCGUGAAAUCUCUCGGCUCAACCGAGAAACGUCGGCUGAUACUGCCGUUCUUGAGGGAUGCAGAGGAGACUGGAAUUCCCGGUGUAGCGGUGAAAUGUGUAGAGAUCGGGAGGAACACCAGUGGCGGAAGGCG
rnacentral:rRNA from 1 species